UACGAAGGGAGCUAGCGUUGUUCGGAAUCACUGGGCGUAAAGCGCACGUAGGCGGAUGUGUCAGUCAGGGGUGAAAUCCCCGAGCUCAACUCGGGAACUGCGUCCGAUACUGGCGGGCUUGAAUCCGGGAGAGGGAUGCGGAAUUCCAGGUGUAGCGGAUGAAAUGCGUAGAAUAUCUGGAGGAACACCGGUGGCGAAGGCGGCAUCCUGGACCGGCAUUGACGCGUGAGGCGCGAAAGCUAGGGGAGCAAACGGG
rnacentral:rRNA from 1 species